rnacentral:tRNA from 1 species
GCCUGGGUGGCUCAGUCGGUUAAGCGUCUGACUUCGGCUCAGGUCAUGAUCUCACAGUUGGUGGGUUCGAGCCCCACAUUGGGCU